rnacentral:rRNA from 1 species
UUCCAGACUCCUACGGGAGGCAGCAGUGGGGAAUAUUGGACAAUGGGGGGAACCCUGAUCCAGCGACGCCGCGUGAGUGAAGAAGUAUUUCGGUAUGUAAAGCUCUAUCAGCAGGGACGAAAAAAGACGGUACCUGACUAAGAAGCCCCGGCUAACUACGUGCCAGCAGCCGCGGUAAUACGUAGGGGGCAAGCGUUAUCCGGAUUUACUGGGUGUAAAGGGAGCGUAGACGGCAAGGCAAGCCAGAAGUGAAAGGGCAGGGCUCAACCCUGUACAUGCUUUUGGAACUGUGGUGCUAGAGUGCAGGAGAGGUAAGUGGAAUUCCUAGUGUAGCGGUGAGAUGCGUAGAUAUUAGGAGGAACACCAGUGGCGAAGGCGGCUUACUGGACUGUAACUGACGUUGAGGCUCGAAAGCGUGGGGAGCAAACAGGAUUAGAUACCCGAGUAC